CGAAAGGGUGACGAAGCGACGCCGCGUGUGGGAAGAAGGCCUUCGGGUUGUAAACCACUGUCAGGAGUUAAGAAGUGUAAGGAUACUAAUAGUGUCCUUACUUGACUAAGGCUCCAGAGGAAGCCACGACUAACUCUGUGCCAGCAGCCGCGGUAAUACAGAGGUGGCAAGCGUUGUUCGGAAUUAUUGGGCGUAAAGAGCACGUAGGCGGUUCUGCAAGUCGGCUGUGAAAGCCUUCCGCUCAACGGAAGAACAGCAGUUGAUACUACAGGACUAGAGUGCGGGAGGGGAGAGUGGAACUUCUGGUGGAGCGGUGAAAUGCGUAGAUAUCAGAAGGAACGCCGGCGGCGAAAGCGACUCUCUGGCCCGUAACUGACGCUGAGUGUGCGAAAGCUAGGGGAGCAAACGGGAUUAGAUACCCCGGUAGUCCUAGCCGU
rnacentral:rRNA from 1 species